rnacentral:rRNA from 1 species
GAUGAACGCUAGCGGCAGGCUUAACACAUGCAAGUCGAGGGGCAGCACGGGUAGCAAUACUUGGUGGCGACCGGCGCACGGGUGAGUAACGCGUAUGCAACCUACCUUCAACUGGGGGAUAGCCCAGGGAAACUUGGAUUAAUACCCCAUAAGACAUUAGUGCCGCAUGGCAGAGAUGUUAAAGUUCCGGCGGUUGGAGAUGGGCAUGCGUGCCAUUAGGUAGUUGGCGGGGUAACGGCCCACCAAGCCUGCGAUGGCUACGGGGUCUAAAAGGAUGGUCCCGCACACUGGUACUGAGACACGGACCAGACUCCUACGGGAGGCAG